UACUAGAGUAGCACUUGCAUAUCAAUAAGCGGAGGAAAAGAAACUAACAAGGAUUCCCCUAGUAACGGCGAAUGAAGCGGGAAGAGCUCAAAUUUGAAAUCUUAAAGGGUUUCCCUUUACGAAUUGUAGUUUAAAGAAGUGUUUUCUGUUGAGGUUUUGGUAAAAGUUCUUUGGAAUAGGACAUCAUAGAGGGUGAGAAUCCCGUAUUUGACCUUUACUUUCAACUUUGUGAUACACUUUCAAAGAGUCGGAUUGUUUGGGAAUGCAGUCCAAAAUGGGUGGUAAAUUUCAUCUAAAGCUAAAUAUUGACGAGAGACCGAUAGCGAACAAGUACCGUGAGGGAAAGAUGAAAAGAACUUUGAAAAGAGAGUUAAACAGUACGUGAAAUUGUCAAAAGGGAAGCGUUUGACACCAGUGUUGUUUUUCUGAAAAUCAAUUAAAGAACUGUUUAUGCUAAGCUGUUUAGACUUUAUCAGCUAUCUGUUUAGUUUUAGGCUUUUCUUUAAUGCACUUUUCAGUUAACAAGUCAACAUCAAUUUCUUUUGCUGUAAAAAAGCUUGAGGAAGGUGGCUUGAGAUUCGUCUUAAGUGUUUAUAGCCUCUUGCCUAUGCAGUCGGAGAGAUUGAGGUCUGCAGCGUAGAUCCUUCGGGGCUAAAUGCAUUUGUGCUAAGUUAUAGCAUUUUAUAGACAACUUGUUGACUAUGAUUUGUCUUGUAGCUUACUCGCUUAUGUUAUUUUACCUACGCUUAGGAUGUUGAGCGCAUGUCUCUCUCU
rnacentral:rRNA from 1 species